GGCAGACGGGUGAGUAACAUGUAGGUAUCUUCCCUUUGGUGAGGAAUAACACGAGGAAACUUGUGCUAAUACCUCAUAAGUCUUUACGGAGAAAGCUUUAUGCGCCAUUGGAUGAGCCUGCACUUGAUUAGUUUGUUGGUGGGGUAAUGGCCUACCAAGACUAUGAUCAAUAGCUGAUUUGAGAGGAUGAUCAGCCACAUUGGGACUGAGACACGGCCCAAACUCCUACGGGAGGCAGCAGUAGGGAAUCUUGCACAAUGGGGGAAACCCUGAUGCAGCGAUGCCGCGUGAGUGAAGAAGGCCUUUGGGUUGUAAAGCUCUUUCGUCGGGGAAGAAAAUGACUGUACCCGAAUAAGAAGGUCCGGCUAACUUCGUGCCAGCAGCCGCGGUAAUACGAAGGGACCUAGCGUAGUUCGGAAUUACUGGGCUUAAAGAGUUCGUAGGCGGUUAAAAAAGUUGGUGGUGAAAUCCCAGAGCUUAACUCUGGAACUGCCAUCAAAACUUUUUAGCUAGAGUAUGAUAGAGGAAAGCAGAAUUUCUAGUGUAGAGGUGAAAUUCGUAGAUAUUAGAAAGAAUACCAAUUGCGAAGGCAGCUUUCUGGAUCAUUACUGACGCUGAGGAACGAAAGCAUGGGUAGCGAAGAGGAUUAGAUACCCUCGUAGUCCAUGCCGUAAACGAUGUGUGUUAGACGUUGGAAAUUUAUUUUUCAGUGUCGCAGCGAAAGCAAUAAACACACCGCCUGGGGAGUACGACCGCAAGGUUAAAACUCAAAUGAAUUGACGGGGACCCGCACAAGUAGUGGAGCAUGUGGUUUAAUUCGAAGAUACGCGCAGAACCUUACCAACACUUGACAUGUUCGUCGCGACUUUAAGAGAUUAAAGUUUUCGGUUCGGCCGGACGAAACACAGGUGCUGCAUGGCUGUCGUCAGCUCGUGUCGUGAGAUGUUGGGUUAAGUCCCGCAACGAGCGCAACCCUCACUUUUAGUUGCCAUCAUUUAGUUGGGCACUCUGAAAGAACUGCCAGUGAUAAGCUGGAGGAAGGUGGGGAUGACGUCAAGUCCUCAUGGCCCUUACGUGUUGGGCUACACACGUGCUACAAUGGCAUUUACAAUAGGAAGCAAAACGGCGACGUUAAGCAAAUCCUAAAAAAAUGCCUCAGUUCGGAUUGUACUCUGCAACUCGAGUACAUGAAGCUGGAAUUACUAGUAAUCGCGGAUCAGCGCGCCGCGGUGAAUACGUUCCCGGGUCUUGUACACACCGCCCGUCACACCAUGGGAGUUGGUUCUACCUUAA
rnacentral:rRNA from 1 species